rnacentral:rRNA from 1 species
UACGUAGGGGGCAAGCGUUGUCCGGAAUCAUUGGGCGUAAAGCGCGUGUAGGCGGCCCGGCAAGUCCGCUGUGAAAGCCGGGGGCUCAACCCUCGAAUGCCGGUGGAUACUGUCGGGCUAGAGUGCGGAAGAGGCGAGUGGAAUUCCUGGUGUAGCGGUGAAAUGCGCAGAGAUCAGGAGGAACACCAGUUGCGAAGGCAGCUCGCUGGGACGUGACUGACGCUGAGACGCGAAAGCGUGGGGAUCAAACAGG